AACGAACGCUGGCGGCAUGCCUAACACAUGCAAGUCGAACGAAGUCUUCGGACUUAGUGGCGCACGGGUGCGUAACGCGUGGGAAUCUGCCCUUGGGUGCGGAAUAACUUCUCGAAAGGGAUGCUAAUACCGCAUAAUGUCGUAAGACCAAAGAUUUAUCGCCCAAGGAUGAGCCCGCGUAAGAUUAGCUAGUUGGUGGGGUAAAAGCCUACCAAGGCGACGAUCUUUAGCUGGUCUGAGAGGAUGAUCAGCCACACUGGGACUGAGACACGGCCCAGACUCCUACGGGAGGCAGCAGUGGGGAAUAUUGGACAAUGGGCGAAAGCCUGAUCCAGCAAUGCCGCGUGAGUGAUGAAGGCCCUAGGGUUGUAAAGCUCUUUUACCAGGGAUGAUAAUGACAGUACCUGGAGAAUAAGCUCCGGCUAACUCCGUGCCAGCAGCCG
rnacentral:rRNA from 1 species